GACGAACGCUGGCGGCGUGCCUAAUACAUGCAAGUAGAACGCACAGUUUAUACCGUAGCUUGCUACACCAUAGACUGUGAGUUGCGAACGGGUGAGUAACGCGUAGGUAACCUGCCUGGUAGCGGGGGAUAACUAUUGGAAACGAUAGCUAAUACCGCAUAAUAUUAAUUAUUGCAUGAUAAUUAAUUGAAAGGUGCAAUUGCACCACUACCAGAUGGACCUGCGUUGUAUUAGCUAGUAGGUGAGGUAACGGCUCACCUAGGCGACGAUACAUAGCCGACCUGAGAGGGUGAUCGGCCACACUGGGACUGGGACACGGCCCAGACUCCUACGGGAGGCAGCAGUAGGGAAUCUUCGGCAAUGGACGAAAGUCUGACCGAGCAACGCCGCGUGAGUGAAGAAGGUUUUCGGAUCGUAAAGCUCUGUUGUAAGAGAAGAACGGGUGUGAGAGUGGAAAGUUCACACUGUGACGGUAGCUUACCAGAAAGGGACGGCUAACUACGUG
rnacentral:rRNA from 1 species